rnacentral:sRNA from 1 species
CUGCUUGUUUACGUACCCGCUGAGGUGG